UAAAAGAAAGGAAGUUGAUAAUUGAUUGUCCAACAAGGUGGAAUUCUACAUAUCACAUGUUAGCCGCUGCUUUAAAAUUCAAGAUUGUCUUCUCAGAAUACCAAGAAAGAGAACCUCAUUAUACAUUUGCACCUUCAAAUGAAGAUUGGGAGAAAGUCGAGAAAGUUUGUAAACUUUUAGAGGUUUUCAACUUAGCUACCAAUUUAAUAUCUGGAAGUGAAUAUCCUACUGCCAACUUGUAUCUUUCAGAGGUCUGGAAAGUGAAGCAAGUAAUUGAUGAUGCGACAAAGGAUGAUGAUCUUUUUAUGAUACAAAUGGCAACGCAAAUGAAAGAAAAGUUUGAUAAAUAUUGGGGUGAGUGCAAUCUAUUGAUGGCUGUUGCAAAUGUAUUGGAUCCGAGAGUUAAAUUUCAUGGUGUUGAAAUAUGUUUUCCAAUGAUAUACAAGUCUGAAGAAGUUGCUGCCGAGUAUGUGAACAAAGUGCGUGCUUCACUGCAACAACUAUAUAAUGAUUAUGUGGCCUUAAGUGUUGAAGAAUCAUCCUCAAGUCAGUGCAAUAUGGCUAACAUCUCCUCUGCCACCACCCAAUCUGAAUCUGCGAUAGUUACUGGGUUUGAUCAAAUUAUGAGUCUUGUAAGAGCAAAAGAAGCAAUUCCUGUAUCAAAAUCUGAAUUGGAUGCCUAUCUCGAGGACAGUGUUUAUAUUCCUGAUGGAAAUAUGUCUUCAUUUUGUGCCUUGGAGUGGUGGAGGAACAACAGCAUGAAAUAUAAAGUUUUAUCGAAGAUGGCUGCUGAUGUACUUGCGAUUCCAAUAUCAACGGUAGCUUCAGAGUCUACAUUUAGUGCUGGAGGUAGAAUUAUAGAUGAAUAUCGUUCAAGAUUGAAUGAAGAAUCUAUUGAGACACUAAUUUGUGGAGGAGAUUGGCUUCGACAUAAAUACAACUUGAAAAAAAAGAAGGUGAAUGAGUCUUUGAAGGAGAUAAGCUUAUAGAUUAAAGAAGUUCUUUAAUACUUUGGUUGCGGAGUGGAAAUGCUAAUGUCCAGAAGAUAUUAUUGAUCUAUUUGCUAUUUUUCUUUUGAAACUUUUAUUGUAUUGAUUUAAUGGUUUCAGAAACUUUGGGGGAAUUUGCAAUUCUUGUGGCUUGUGGCCUGUGGGUGACGUGAACUUGAAAAACUAUGUUAUUAAUUUCUAAAUAUUUUUGUCGAAUUUUUUAAUAUUGCUUCUGAGUUAGCGUUGCUUAUUUCUUUGUUAGAACAAUCAGCUUAAUGACAAUAGAUUGAU